CCAGUGAGAUCGUACAGAUCACUGGCACUGCCCUUUCACCAAAUCCCACAAAGACCCUCUCUUUCUCUCUCUCUCUCUCUCAAAAUCAAAACUAAACAGAAAGAACCACCGUCACAGUGCACCAACCAAAGCAAAAAAACCAGCUUUGAAUAACACCAUCCAUGGGCACCUGCACUUCCAAGCCACCCAAGCCCAAUCCCUACGCUUCCAGGGACGAGUCUACUGAACCUGACCCCCCUUCCCAGCCUCACAAAUCACCUCUACCACCACCAUCUCCCGCUUCUCUCCCCGGAACCGACGUCCUCGCCGGCAAACUAUCUCGCUUCUUCCCCUUCUACAGCCCCAGUCCCAGCCCUAGCCCCGCUCACUUCCUCAAGAAAUCCCCGGGCCCCAAGAGCGCCAGCUCCACUCCCGGGCGGUUCUUCAGGCUGCCGUUUCCGCCUCCGUCUCCGGCUAAACACAUAAAGGCCGUGCUUUUGCGGCGUCAGGGUAAGAAGACGAAGGCAUCUGCUGCUAUACCGGAGGAGGAGGAAGAGGAUGAGGAGGUGGAGUUGGAUAAGAGGUUUGGGUUCUCCAAGGAGUUGACGAGUCGGUUGGAGGUUGGAGAGGAGGUGGGACGAGGGCAUUUUGGGUAUACUUGCUCCGCUAGGUUCAAGAAGGGCGAGCUCAAGGGCCAACGGGUUGCUGUCAAGGUCAUCCCAAAAGCCAAGAUGACGACAGCAAUUGCGAUUGAGGAUGUGAGAAGGGAGGUGAAAAUAUUGCGAGCCUUGACAGGACAUAACAAUCUAGUACAGUUCUAUGAUGCUUUUGAAGACCAUGAUAAUGUCUACAUAGUAAUGGAGUUAUGUGAAGGAGGGGAACUUCUAGACAGAAUACUUUCAAGGGGUGGGAAAUACUCAGAAGAUGAUGCAAAGGCUGUCAUUGUGCAGAUACUGAAUGUGGUUGCAUUUUGUCAUCUUCAGGGUGUGGUGCAUCGAGAUCUCAAACCAGAGAACUUUUUGUAUACUUCUAAAGAUGAGAACUCAGAGUUGAAAGCCAUAGACUUUGGCUUAUCAGAUUUUGUCAAGCCAGAUGAGCGGCUUAAUGACAUUGUAGGAAGUGCAUAUUAUGUCGCCCCUGAAGUUCUACAUAGGUCUUAUGGUACAGAGGCUGAUGUAUGGAGUAUAGGAGUAAUUGCUUAUAUUCUUUUAUGUGGUAGUCGCCCAUUUUGGGCUAGGACUGAAUCUGGAAUUUUUCGGGCGGUCUUGAAAGCUGAUCCAAGUUUUGAUGAAGCACCUUGGCCUUCUUUGUCUUCUGAGGCAAAGGAUUUUGUCAAACGCCUGUUAAAUAAAGACUCAAGAAAACGAAUGACAGCUGCUCAGGCACUAAGUCAUCCAUGGAUCCGAAAUUAUAAUGAUGUAAAAGUUCCUCUCGACAUACUGAUAUUUAGACUCAUGAAGGCUUAUAUACGGUCAUCAUCCUUGCGUAAGGCUGCUUUAAGGGCCUUGUCUAAGACACUGACAGUAGACGAAGUCUUUUAUCUAAAGGAGCAAUUUGCUUUAUUAUUACCGAACAAAAAUAGCUGCAUAACCUUGGAGAGUAUCAGAACGGCUUUGAUGAAAAAUGCAACGGACGCAAUGGAGGAGUCUCAUAUCCCUGAUUUUCUUGCAUCGAAGAAUGGAUUUUGAAGAGUUUUGUGCAGCUGCAUUAAGUGUGCAUCAGCUGGAGGCGCUUGAUAGGUGGGAACAGCAUGCCCGGAGUGCAUAUGAACUUUUUGAGAAGGACGGGAACAGGCCUAUUGUCAUUGAAGAACUAGCUUCAGAGCUUGGACUCGGUCCCUCCAUUCCUGUUCAUGCUGUUCUUAAUGACUGGAUAAGGCAUACUGAUGGGAAGUUGAGCUUUCUCGGGUUUGUGAAAUUGCUGCAUGGUGUAUCCAACCGAACCCUUACUAAAGCACAGUGAAAGACACGAAUGCCAUCAUCUUUAAGAAGUUCUGUUGUUCUCUCCAUGCAUUUCGGCCAAACAAAUUGCAUGAGAGUUGGCAUACAUGCUGCAGCUGUUGAGAAAAUUCACAUCGGCACAGGUUGAAUGAGCCUUCACUCAUGCCAAUGCUUUGAGAGGGAUCGAACCGUGUCUAAACUGCAGGCGUAUUAUUGAUUAAUUAGAGCCAUGAGAGUCUUCCGGUGUAAAGAUGUAGUUAGGUUGCCCAAACAGGCAACGAUAUUGUCGUCAAACUUUCUUAUCGAUGCUUUAUACAUGUUUCAUUUAUCACGUC